rnacentral:rRNA from 1 species
GCAUAAUCAUUAGUUUUUUAAUUGGGAGCUGGAAUGAAAGAUAGAGACUGAAAAGAUAGUUUUUUUUAAUUAGUUUGAAUUUAAAUUUAAAGUAAAAAUGCUUUAUUUAUUUCUUGGGACGAGAAGACCCUAGAAGCUAUAAAUUAUAAAAUAAUUUUUUAUUGGGGCAAUAGUUAAAGAAAUUAAUUUUUAAUUUUGGUUUAUGGAAAAAAAAAGUUACUCUAGGGAUAACAGCGUUAUAUAAUUAGUGAGUUCUUAUUGAGAAUUAUGGUUGCGACC